rnacentral:rRNA from 1 species
UACGUAGGGUGCGAGCGUUGUCCGGAAUUAUUGGGCGUAAAGGGCUCGUAGGCGGUUUGUCGCGUCGGGAGUGAAAACGCAGGCCUUAAUUCUGCGCUUGCUUCCGAUACGGGCAGACUAGAGGUAUGCAGGGGAGAAUGGAAUUCCUGGUGUAGCGGUGAAAUGCGCAGAUAUCAGGAGGAACACCGGUGGCGAAGGCGGUUCUCUGGGCAUGACCUGACGCUGAGGAGCGAAAGUGUGGGGAGCGAACAGG